UCUAAUUGAGAUUUUCUUCAUUAUAUUGGAUAUUUCAUUUUGACAAGUCGAUGCACCUGCACUUGUAGUAUUGGUCAACGUGCAACUGUGUAAAGUCCAUUCCUCGUAUAAAUCAUUGAUGAAACAAAGUACCACUAUUUGAUUUCUAUUUCUUUUAACUUUCUCUUUGAGAAAAGCCCAUUUCAUUGUAGGUAGAUGCUCCUCGCUAUGUGAAUGUUUUCUAGAUUUGAUGUUGAGUAGUCCAUUCCAAGUGCCCAAUGUUCUUGUGAAAUGGGAGGCUUUAUAGAGCAGUUGGAAGAACUGUUUUGCACAUAGAAUGUAAUACAGGCCAAC